GAUAUAGUCUUUAAGAAAAACAAACAAUGUUUAUAUUUAGUUAACUAAGUUUAUAAACUUUUUAACAAAAUACACAUAAAUUUUAGGUAAAAUUGUUAAAAAGACGAAAUUUGGCGUGAAAUUUGUUAAAUGUGUUUAUAAAAUUAUUGAUUUAUAUUGUAUUUUAUACUGAAUUCGAAGCACAAAUCAAAAGUUUUGACACUUUACAUGAAAUUUGUUCAACUGAAAUUGCCUAUAAAUUUGGAGAUUUUUUUUAAUUGUGUUUCAAAAACACAUAUUAUUUAUUAUUUAAAAACUUAUUUACCCUUCUCCUAGUGGAAAAUUGCCCAAAGAAUCCGAAAAUGAAUUCCGUUUUCCGAUUCAAAAUCAUGUUCAUUGAGAAAAUCAUGACACUUUGAGAAGUUAAAAAUAAUGACUUUCAUCAACAUUUUCUUAACUUUAGUUAACUAACUUUUUAAACUAUUCUAAAUUUUAUAAAAAGUUCUUUUUGAGGUACUUCGAACACUUCUCAAUCGCAGUCAGUAUGAUUCUUAAAAAUUCCGUACGUAUUUUAAUUGUACUCUUCAUUUUGCGAAAAAAUACCAAACCUAUCAAAGUCACCACGUUUUACGGUACCAUUUUUGUACGGACAGCUGCCGAAAUUGUAUGGAGCUUUGUAUUAGUGAACCAAUGAUAGAAAAGGGCCCCAAAAAGUAUGAGCCAAAUCAAAAAUAUAAAUAAAAUCUUUUUCCGGUUUUGGUGGAAAAUUGCUCUUUAGUGUUUAUGGUUGAUCAAUGAUCAUGACUUCUACUGGCAAAAAAGUAACGAAAAACAAAAUUGUAUCAGAUAACAAUUUUAUUCUCCAUCUGAAAAUUUAGUAAAACAUUGUUUGACUAUAUUUAAGUUUACGUUUUCGGCAAAUAAUGAUUGGCCAAAUAAUAGCAGCACUUUCAAAUGAAUUUUUACCAUCCUAUUUUUAACUCAAAAGAUGUCAUUUUCAGUUUUAACGUUGGACGCGAUUCGUGAACAGGGAACAAAAUUACUCCGUUAGACAAAGUCUCACGAAAACGUUUUUCCGAUUUUGUGUUACAUAGUUGUCGAAGAAAAUUAUAAAUUACCCAUAGGCCAAAAUAGGCUACUAUUUCAUGGUUUGCAGUCAAAAUUAUUCAAAAACUUACAUGGGACACUUUUGCGUUGACCGAUCAAAUCUUGCAGCAAAUCAACUUCCAACUGUCCAUCGAUGUUUCCUCUGCUAUUCUACCGUGGAUCUGACUCACAGUCUGACCAGAACUUGACACUACGUUGGACGCUUUUCCUGCGCUGGUAAAUCCACGAUGGGACAAUCGCAGUCACGACGCCAGCAGCGGGCCGAAGAUAUCCGAUACGGAGUCUCGAUAAACAAUGCGCGGCGAGAGCAAGGAAGUUUGCUUGUAUUUUUGAUAAAAUGCUGGUUCGUUUUUGCGACUUGUUGGGCGAUUCGAGAUUGUAAAGGAUUCUGGAAAAAAAUGGAGUUGCUAUUUUCAUUGCUUCAUAAUAGACUGUUUUUGAACGACCACGGAAUUAGUGAAAGUUUGAAAAUAAUUUUAAGCAUUUGCAUUGUAUUUGCAAGUUUGUUGGUAUUCAUUCCGUUAGCCUUAGCAGUCAUUAUUCGAGUACUAGCUCUGUGGCUUAUUUGUGGUGACCAAUGGUGCCAUUUUGAUCCAUUAGAAUCGAUGAACGUCACGAAAAACUUUUAAAUCUUUUGGUAUGUGUAAGUUUUCUGAUAACUCAAGCCAACCAAAAUGGGAAAAGGGACUAAAGGUAAAUCUUUCCCAAAUUCCUGAGAAUCGCCCUCUUGGAAAGUAUCGGGGCCAGCAGGUUACACCCUUCGUAUACAAUCACACAUAGGCCCAAUCACAUUGUUUUGCUUGAUUUUAUCUUUCUUUUUCCUAUUUUUCCGUACUCCGUUUCACUUCUAACUGAAAUGUUCUAAUAUGUGUAUGAUAAAUCACAAGAAUAAAAAAACAACAUAAAAGCUUGUUUCUGUAAAAGGUGUUUUUUUUUAUUAAUACUUUGAUGCCACAAAUGCAGGGAUUUUAUAUUCGAUUUGGUGUCUUCGGCAAACUUGUAGGUUAUGAUUAUUUUUAGUAUUUUUUUUAAAAUAUUUAUCCCAUUUUACAACAAAACAAAAACCCGAUGUGUUGAAGUAGAUAAAAAUCUAAAAAUAUUUGUUUCAAGGAGUUGAGAAAAUUUCACACAAAUUUUACUCUUUAACAUCGAAAAUCUUAACAAGAUAUAAUCGAUUGAAAAUUGAGGGUCAACUUGAUACAACUUAAAAAAAAACUUAUUUUGAUAAUUUUCACUCCUUGCUUGGCCAAUGGCCAUUGGCCAUAUCUCAGCAACCAAUUCGCCGCUUUUCGAAUAUAUUGUUU